UGAGACGCAGUGCUCUUUCCUGAGUGCGAAGCCGGCUCUUAGGGUUGCUUUCUGCAACGGCUGCUUGCCAUUGAUGCUCAUUCUAGAUCCUUUAUGAGGUUCAAGAGGGAGAGGAUGCAGUCUGA
ensembl:snoRNA Gm22152 predicted gene, 22152